rnacentral:rRNA from 1 species
GACGAACGCUGGCGGCGUGCUUAACACAUGCAAGUCGAACGAAGUGGCGAACGGGUGAGUAAUACGUGGGUAACUGCCCUCCUUUUUGGGAUAAGCCUUGGAAACGGGGUCUAAUACCGAAUAUUGGGGGAUGACUCGCGGCCUAUCAGCUUGUUGGUGGGGUAGUGGCCUACCAAGGCGACGACCGGUAGCCGGCCUGAGAGGGCGACCGGCCACAUUGGGCUAAGGUACGGCCCAAAGGCCUACGGGAGGCAGCGGGGGGGAGUAUUGCACAAUGGGGGAAACCCUGAUGCAGAAGCGCCGGGGGCGGGAUGACGGCCUUGGGGUUGUAAACCGCUUUCAGCCAAGACGCGGUAGUGGCAGAAGAAGCACCGGCUAACUACGUGCCAGCAGCCGCGGUAAUAC